UUCCACGUUCACUAGGUCGACUAGUUUGUCGCUAGUCACGGUUGGGGAGUUCGGGUCGUGUGGGAGAAACUCAAAGUACGCCAUGUUUGGCAUGAUGGUGUAUGAAACUUCUGACGGUUUGCACAUCGGGUUCAGAUUGAGCCCGAAGUAACACUCGGAUGAAGCAUACAUUGUACAAACUUUCGGUAACCCGCCGCUAUAGUAAUCCAAAGUUGGAAUGUACUGCGCCAUUGCACCGGUGACAAUCACCUCUAAAUACUUUGUGUUUGGCCAAAUUCGUGUAAUAAUUCUUUCCCAAUUUUCCUUCGAGCAUUCGGAUUCAAUAAAAUUUGCAAGCUCCGGGUCUGAUCGUAGCACCCGUGCCAUGCAUCCUCUGAUAUCCGAAUCGGAUAUCUUCGAGUUAAGUGUUCCAGUUCGGAUAUCAUGUGCCAGUUCCCGCCAAUUAAGCUGGAGGAACCGGAUGGCACGGAGCAGACCCGAAGCAAAGAUGGCACCAAGCCUAAGGACUUGUUUACGCUCGUAGAGACCGCAUAACAUCUGCGAAUACAUGCUUUGAAACGAAUCUGGGCAAAGAAUCGCCUCAUUCGGGCUCGUGUACACGUUAUACGGGUCAAAAGCCCGGGUCUUGAAAUGGUUGCUUUUGUAGUAGCUGGUUAAAACGGGUCGGGCCAUUAACCCACCCGGUGUCUUGGUUUCGGACUUGACAAACAAAAAGUAUAGUCCUUUUCCCUUGUCUAAUCCGGGCAUGUUCAUUACUGGCAUUAGAAGACUGUAAAGUAGCUGGCGUCGAUCCAACUCUUCCUGAAUCGUGGGCAUGAGCUUUCGCUCACCCGCGGAUGUACCCGAGCUAAAUUCUGAAAUAGGAUGAGAUGACAGGAUUGGAGACCGAUCGCCAUUGGCGAUACGUUGGAUGAUAGGCUGAAGAUCCUCAUAAGUUACCAUCGGAAUCUUUGACUUGAAAGAUUCCCGGUCGGUAGCUCCGUCAAGAUUAUACAUACAGAGAUACUCCGUCUGAGCGUUCCGACUGAGAAUCUCAGCCAGAACGCUCUCUUGAACAGCAUCGGCGCUUCUAGUCAUCUCCUCAAUGAACUGAAGCGCCUUUGCGUCUUUCUCACACGCUGGCGGUCCCAAUGGCGAACACAAAGCAUCAACUGCCAUUGAGUAACUGAAAUUCUUGCACUUCAGGGAUUAAAAAUUGCGCUAUAAAUAAAAAGCUAGUGAGUGUUCUUUAUACAUAAACAGUUUGUAUAUGAUGAGAGAGAGAAGUUAGGGUUUU
rnacentral:lncRNA from 1 species